UACGGGGGGAGCAAGCGUUGUUCGGAUUUACUGGGCGUAAAGGGCGCGUAGGCGGCCAGCACAAGUCAGUUGUGAAAUCUCCGGGCUUAACUCGGAAAGGUCAACUGAUACUGUGCGGCUAGAGUGCAGAAGGGGCAACUGGAAUUCUCGGUGUAGCGGUGAAAUGCGUAGAUAUCGGGAGGAACACCGGUGGCGAAGGCGGCCUUCUGGACGGAUACUGACGCUGAGACGCGAAAGCGUGGGGAGCGAACAGG
rnacentral:rRNA from 1 species